UGCAGUCAGUCAGGCACACAGAACUACACUGAGGACAACAAGACUCAGGCUAUAAUGGAGAAAAGCCAAUGGGAUCUGAAAAAAAUUAGAUUCCAGAGACGUCGUCUCACAAGGCUUGACGACUUUGUACAGAUUUAUCAGCAGACACAUAAUGCUCUCUUGAUGGAGUUCUCUGACUCAACACGCAAGAGAAAAACAUACAGGGUAAAUGUUGAGCGCUGGAGAAAA